rnacentral:rRNA from 1 species
AUCAACUUUCGAUGGUAGGAUAGAGGCCUACCAUGGUGGUAACGGGUAACGGGGUGUUAGGGCACGACACCGGAGAGGGAGCCUGAGAAACGGCUACCACAUCCAAGGAUGGCAGCAGGCGCGCAAAUUACCCAAUCCCGACACGGGGAGGUAGUGACAAUAAAUAACAAUACGGGGUUCUUUCGGAUCUCGUAAUUGGAAUGAGUACAAUUUAAAUCUCUUAACGAGGAACAAUUGGAGGGCAAGUCUGGUGCCAGCAGCCGCGGUAAUUCCAGCUCCAAUAGCGUAUAUUAAAGUUGUUGCAGUUAAAAAGCUCGUAGUUGAAUUUCGGAAUCAAUAUGUUGGUCGUGCCAUUGGUACGUACUGGCAUUAUUGGUUUCUACCUUCUGAAGAACCUCGAUGUCAUUAAUUUGGUGUCUUGGGGAAUCAGGACUGUUACUUUGAAAAAAUUAGAGUGUUUAAAACAGGCUCGCGCUUGAAUACAUUAGCAUGGAAUAAUGAAAUAGGACGUUUGAUUCUAUUUUGUUGGUUUCUAGGAUCGACGUAAUGAUUAAUAGGGAUAGUUGGGGGCAUUAGUAUUCAAUUGUCAGAGGUGAAAUUCUUGGAUUUAUUGAAGACUAACUACUGCGAAAGCAUUUGCCAAGGAUGUUUUCAUUAAUCAAGAACGAAAGUUAGGGGAUCGAAGACGAUCAGAUACCGUCGUAGUCUUAACCAUAAACUAUGCCGACUAGGGAUCGGAUGAUGUUAAUUUUAUAAUGACUCAUUCGGCGCCUUACGGGAAACCAAAGUGUUUGGGUUC